GACCCUGAGAUUAACUCAGUUGGUGAGAGCAUGGUGCUAAUCACCCCAGGGUUGUGGGUCCAAUCCCCACAUGGGCCA